GGCGAACGGGUGAGUAACACGUGAGUGAUCUGCCUUGCACUCUGGGAUAAGCUUGGGAAACUGGGUCUAAUACCGGAUAGGAACCGUCUUUAGUGUGGUGGUUGGAAAGUUUUUCGGUGCAAGAUGAGCUCGCGGCCUAUCAGCUUGUUGGUGGGGUAAUGGCCUACCAAGGCGUCGACGGGUAGCCGGCCUGAGAGGGUGUACGGCCACAUUGGGACUGAGAUACGGCCCAG
rnacentral:rRNA from 1 species